UUUAUUUUGGCAGAUAAGUGCGUUAAAUUUAGGAUUUAAAAUAUUUACAUUUUAUGUAUAAAUAAUA
rnacentral:tRNA from 1 species